GGGUGAAUAUGAUGAAUGAAGAUUUAAGUGAUGAUCAAUUUCAUAUGAUCUUAAUUAUCUACGUUUGCUGCGUUCUUUCUGAUUCACUC